rnacentral:rRNA from 1 species
AUUGAACGCUGGCGGAAUGCUUUACACAUGCAAGUCGAACGGUAGAGGGGGCAACCCCUCGAGAGUGGCGAACGGGUGAGUAAUAUAUCGGAACGUGCCCAGUCGUGGGGGAUAAUGUAGCGAAAGCUACGCUAAUACCGCGUACGAUCUAAGGAUGAAAGCGGGGGAUCGCAAGACCUCGCGCGAUUGGAGCGGCCGAUAUCAGAUUAGGUAGUUGGUGGGGUAAAGGCUCACCAAGCCAACGAUCUGUAGCUGGUCUGAGAGGACGACCAGCCACACUGGAAAUGAGACACGGUCCAGACGCCGACGGGAGGCAGCAGUGGGGAAUUGUAGACAAUGGACGCAAGUCUGAUCCAGCCAUUCCGCGUGCAGGAUGAAGGCCCUCGGGUUGUAACCUGCUUUUGUACGGAACGAAAAGGUCUCUCUUAAUACGGGGGACUCAUGACGGUACCGUAAGAAUAAGCACCGGCUAACUACGUGCCAGCCGCCGCGGUAACAC